AACGAACGCUGGCGGCAGGCCUAACACAUGCAAGUCGAACGGGCGUAGCAAUACGUCAGCGGCAGACGGGUGAGUAACGCGUGGGAACGUGCCCCAAGGUACGGAACAACUUCGGGAAACUGGAGCUAAUACCGUAUGUGCCCGAAAGGGGAAAGAUUUAUCGCCUUGGGAUCGGCCCGCGUCGGAUUAGCUAGUUGGUAGGGUAACGGCCUACCAAGGCGACGAUCCGUAGCUGGUCUGAGAGGAUGGCCAGCCACACUGGGACUGAGACACGGCCCAGACUCCUACGGGAGGCAGCAGUGGGGAAUAUUGGACAAUGGGCGAAAGCUUGGUCCAGCCAUGCCGCGUGAGUGAUGAAGGCCUUAGGGUUGUAAAGCUCUUUCGCCAGGGACGAUAAUGACGGUACCUGGAUAAGAAGCCCCGGCUAACUUCGUGCCAGCAGCCGCCGUAACAC
rnacentral:rRNA from 1 species